UUAGGAAUAUUGGGCAAUGGAGGGAACUCUGACCCAGCAACGCCGCGUGAAGGAAGAAGGUUUUCGGAUUGUAAACUUCUGAUCUGUGGAAAAAAGAAAGUGAUGGUACCACAGGAGCAAGCCACGGCUAACUACGUGCCAGCAGCCGCGGUAAUACGUAGGUGGCGAGCGUUGUCCGGAAUAACUGGGCGUAAAGGGAGCGUAGGUGGUUAGGUAAGUGAAAUGUGAAAGCCCGUGGCUCAACCAUGGAACUGCAUUUCAUACUGUCUAACUAGAGUGCAGGAGGGGUAAGCGGAAUUCCUAGUGUAGCGGUUAAAUGCGUAGAUAUUAGGAGGAACACCAGAGGCGAAGGCGGCUUACUGGACUGCAACUGACACUGAGGCUCGAAAGCGUGGGGAUCAAACAGG
rnacentral:rRNA from 1 species